rnacentral:rRNA from 1 species
AUGGCGGAGAGAGGGAGCGCGCGCGCAGCGGCGGCGGCGGCAGGAAGGAGGGGCCCCGUGGCGCGAGGGCGGCGGGGCAGGCGCAACGAGCCGGUAACUCGGAGGGAGCUCCACCAUUAAAAACAGUUCCAACAACAAUGGUACCUCCAGUUGCCAGCAGUGUUCGGAUGUUCUCUCAUAUAGCUGUCUCCCACGUUACCACAUUUUAGCGGGUUAUUAAAGCCGCUUCAACUAGGGACCUGGCGCACCCGCAUGUCUGGUGCCUGGUAGAGCAACAAUGAGUACCCUUGGACGAAAAAUUAAACCCGUUCACCACGAGAAUUAGGUCUUCCUUCGAAGAGACGACUGGCACAGAGUAGACAUUUUUCCCCACAGAAACGCUACUAACGACAAAAGAACCGAAUAAGAAAAGAAGUCCGUGGAAGUUGACACGAGUAGUCUGGUGUAGGACGUUAAACCGCCGACCAGGUACCCUACCGUCAACAAAUGGAACACCGGGAGUGUAAAAACGAAAAGGUCUGAGCACUACUACGAUCCGUCAAGUACUUCAUGGAAGUGGGACUGGAACCACAACUUAAUGGACUUUCUAGGAUACCUUGGCUGACGGCAUAUAUACAUGGACUAGUAGGCUUUUCGUCCUGUAGGAAAAACUGCUCAAACAAUAACGGGUAUAGGAACCUACCACCCCUUUCCGAUAUUACUAUGCUUUGGUUGGUGAAGAUACCCACAAUAGUUAACCGAAACUCAAUUACCUCGAUUGAAAAGCUGUAUACAACGGUUUAAAAUUGCUUACGACCACCCUAUCGUAACAAGAUCUGUAUAACUAGACGUUAACCAAACCAUAGACCCGACCAUACUUCUGACACUCUAUAAAACUACCCUCCUGUAUACUUACCCAACCGAACUCAGCGGUCGGGUUAUAAUACUCAUUCCACUUUUCCUGUGAUCCAGUCAAGUGUGGUCGUGUCACCCUGUUCCUACUCACCAUGGGAGACGAGCCGGGAACCUCUAAGUAGGUUCACGAUUCGGACACGCAUUAAAAGUACUGGUAGCUUGAAUUGUGUAAGAAAGAAUUCAAGACGGAGACCUAAGGAGGGGCCUUAGGGAACUAACAGAUGGCUGACCAGGAAACCACCAACUAACGCUAUGGUUGGUAGGCGCUUAUGUUGUGGAUAAACGUCCUGUCCUUGAGACACUUCUUCCACCCCAGAAAGACAACCGAAAGCGACCGAUAUACGUAGUAUCUCGAAGACUAGACGUAGUUCAAACCGGUACCAGAGAAGGGCUUCAGCUACGGCAGCACCGACUAGUAUAAGACCUGCUGCCACCGGUGCGAAGAGUGCUACAAGGAAAAACACACCUGUACCUUUUAAAUGGCUUGUUACUAAUCUUUUUCCAACACUAACGUUGGUUUCGGUAACAAAAGAGACCGGGUGUGGUAAGAAAAGAGGAGGCUAAGUUAUAACGGCACAUUUAUAGGUAAGUUUAACACAUGUACAUCGUCAUCCGGUAAUUAGCCACUGGCGCACUUCCAGUCGGAAUCUUUAAAGAACAGCUAGGUGGUCGUCUUAUUCGGGGGGAAGGAAGGCAAGUAAGUACAUGGCACAGUUAGUUGAGGCUUUGAGACUUUAAGUAAACCAGGCUG